rnacentral:rRNA from 1 species
GUCCACGCCGUAAACGAUGAGGACUAGGUGUUAGGAAGUUUAUCUUUUUAGUGCCGUAGUUAACGCGUUAAGUCCUCCGCCUGGGGAGUACGACCGCAAGGUUAAAACUCAAAGGAAUUGACGGGGGCCCGCACAAGCGGUGGAGCAUGUGGUUUAAUUCGAUGCAACGCGACGCACCUUACCUACCCUUGACAUCCCCAGAAUCCUCUAGAGAUAGAGGAGUGCCUUCGGGAACUGGGUGACAGGUGUUGCAUGGCU